AUCGCUUUGCGGCCUCUUUGGCUAGAUUCAAGUGUAGUAUCUGUUCUUUCAGUUCUAUCUGAUACGUCCCCUACCCGGGGACCAUAUAGUUAAAUUGAUUUUUGGAAAGCAGGGAGAAUUGGAAUUAGGGGCUUGCUUCCGUCCACUCCACGCAUCGAUUGGGAUAUUGCAGUCUUCUGGACGGGUUGCAUCCAAC
rnacentral:snRNA from 1 species